GAUUAGGUGAGCGUGACUCUUCA
rnacentral:siRNA from 1 species